UUCGACACACUAUCAUUAACUGAAUCCAUAGGUUAAUGAGGCGAACCGGGGGAACUGAAACAUCUAAGUACCCCGAGGAAAAGAAAUCAACCGAGAUUCCCCCAGUAGCGGCGAGCGAACGGGGAGCAGCCCAGAGCCUGAAUCAGUGUGUGUGUUAGUGGAAGCGUCUGGAAAGGCGCGCGAUACAGGGUGACAGCCCCGUACACAAAAAUGCACAUGCUGUGAGCUCGAUGAGUAGGGCGGGACACGUGGUAUCCUGUCUGAAUAUGGGGGGACCAUCCUCCAAGGCUAAAUACUCCUGACUGACCGAUAGUGAACCAGUACCGUGAGGGAAAGGCGAAAAGAACCCCGGCGAGGGGAGUGAAAAAGAACCUGAAACCGUGUACGUACAAGCAGUGGGAGCACGCUUCGGCGUGUGACUGCGUACCUUUUGUAUAAUGGGUCAGCGACUUAUAUUCUGUAGCAAGGUUAACCGAAUAGGGGAGCCGAAGGGAAACCGAGUCUUAACUGGGCGUUAAGUUGCAGGGUAUAGACCCGAAACCCGGUGAUCUAGCCAUGGGCAGGUUGAAGGUUGGGUAACACUAACUGGAGGACCGAACCGACUAAUGUUGAAAAAUUAGCGGAUGACUUGUGGCUGGGGGUGAAAGGCCAAUCAAACCGGGAGAUAGCUGGUUCUCCCCGAAAGCUAUUUAGGUAGCGCCUCGUGAAUUCAUCUCCGGGGGUAGAGCACUGUUUCGGCAAGGGGGUCAUCCCGACUUACCAACCCGAUGCAAACUGCGAAUACCGGAGAAUGUUAUCACGGGAGACACACGGCGGGUGCUAACGUCCGUCGUGAAGAGGGAAACAACCCAGACCGCCAGCUAAGGUCCCAAAGUCAUGGUUAAGUGGGAAACGAUGUGGGAAGGCCCAGACAGCCAGGAUGUUGGCUUAGAAGCAGCCAUCAUUUAAAGAAAGCGUAAUAGCUCACUGGUCGAGUCGGCCUGCGCGGAAGAUGUAACGGGGCUAAACCAUGCACCGAAGCUGCGGCAGCGACGCUUAUGCGUUGUUGGGUAGGGGAGCGUUCUGUAAGCCUGUGAAGGUGUGCUGUGAGGCAUGCUGGAGGUAUCAGAAGUGCGAAUGCUGACAUAAGUAACGAUAAAGCGGGUGAAAAGCCCGCUCGCCGGAAGACCAAGGGUUCCUGUCCAACGUUAAUCGGGGCAGGGUGAGUCGACCCCUAAGGCGAGGCCGAAAGGCGUAGUCGAUGGGAAACAGGUUAAUAUUCCUGUACUUGGUGUUACUGCGAAGGGGGGACGGAGAAGGCUAUGUUGGCCGGGCGACGGUUGUCCCGGUUUAAGCGUGUAGGCUGGUUUUCCAGGCAAAUCCGGAAAAUCAAGGCUGAGGCGUGAUGACGAGGCACUACGGUGCUGAAGCAACAAAUGCCCUGCUUCCAGGAAAAGCCUCUAAGCAUCAGGUAACAUCAAAUCGUACCCCAAACCGACACAGGUGGUCAGGUAGAGAAUACCAAGGCGCUUGAGAGAACUCGGGUGAAGGAACUAGGCAAAAUGGUGCCGUAACUUCGGGAGAAGGCACGCUGAUAUGUAGGUGAGGUCCCUCGCGGAUGGAGCUGAAAUCAGUCGAAGAUACCAGCUGGCUGCAACUGUUUAUUAAAAACACAGCACUGUGCAAACACGAAAGUGGACGUAUACGGUGUGACGCCUGCCCGGUGCCGGAAGGUUAAUUGAUGGGGUUAGCGGUAACGCGAAGCUCUUGAUCGAAGCCCCGGUAAACGGCGGCCGUAACUAUAACGGUCCUAAGGUAGCGAAAUUCCUUGUCGGGUAAGUUCCGACCUGCACGAAUGGCGUAAUGAUGGCCAGGCUGUCUCCACCCGAGACUCAGUGAAAUUGAACUCGCUGUGAAGAUGCAGUGUACCCGCGGCAAGACGGAAAGACCCCGUGAACCUUUACUAUAGCUUGACACUGAACAUUGAGCCUUGAUGUGUAGGAUAGGUGGGAGGCUUUGAAGUGUGGACGCCAGUCUGCAUGGAGCCGACCUUGAAAUACCACCCUUUAAUGUUUGAUGUUCUAACGUUGACCCGUAAUCCGGGUUGCGGACAGUGUCUGGUGGGUAGUUUGACUGGGGCGGUCUCCUCCUAAAGAGUAACGGAGGAGCACGAAGGUUGGCUAAUCCUGGUCGGACAUCAGGAGGUUAGUGCAAUGGCAUAAGCCAGCUUGACUGCGAGCGUGACGGCGCGAGCAGGUGCGAAAGCAGGUCAUAGUGAUCCGGUGGUUCUGAAUGGAAGGGCCAUCGCUCAACGGAUAAAAGGUACUCCGGGGAUAACAGGCUGAUACCGCCCAAGAGUUCAUAUCGACGGCGGUGUUUGGCACCUCGAUGUCGGCUCAUCACAUCCUGGGGCUGAAGUAGGUCCCAAGGGUAUGGCUGUUCGCCAUUUAAAGUGGUACGCGAGCUGGGUUUAGAACGUCGUGAGACAGUUCGGUCCCUAUCUGCCGUGGGCGCUGGAGAACUGAGGGGGGCUGCUCCUAGUACGAGAGGACCGGAGUGGACGCAUCACUGGUGUUCGGGUUGUCAUGCCAAUGGCACUGCCCGGUAGCUAAAUGCGGAAGAGAUAAGUGCUGAAAGCAUCUAAGCACGAAACUUGCCCCGAGAUGAGUUCUCCCUGACUCCUUGAG
rnacentral:rRNA from 1 species